rnacentral:tRNA from 1 species
GCCCAUGUAGCUCAGUUGGCAGAGCAGCUGCUUUGUAAGCAGCCGGUCGCGCGUUCGAAUCGUCGCCCUGGGCACCA